rnacentral:rRNA from 1 species
AGAGUUUGAUCCUGGCUCAGAACGAACGCUGGCGGCAUGCCUAACACAUGCAAGUCGAACGAGACCUUCGGGUCUAGUGGCGCACGGGUGCGUAACGCGUGGGAAUCUGCCCCUUGGUUCGGAAUAACAGUUAGAAAUGACUGCUAAUACCGGAUGAUGACGAAAGUCCAAAGAUUUAUCGCCGAGGGAUGAGCCCGCGUAGGAUUAGCUAGUUGGUGAGGUAAAGGCUCACCAAGGCGACGAUCCUUAGCUGGUCUGAGAGGAUGAUCAGCCACACUGGGACUGAGACACGGCCCAGACUCCUACGGGAGGCAGCAGUGGGGAAUAUUGGACAAUGGGCGAAAGCCUGAUCCAGCAAUGCCGCGUGAGUGAUGAAGGCCUUAGGGUCGUAAAGCUCUUUACCAGGGAUGAUAAUGACAGUACCUGGAGAAUAAGCUCCGGCUAACUCCGUG